rnacentral:rRNA from 1 species
AGUGACAGGUGGUGCAUGGUUGUCGUCAGCUCGUGUCGUGAGAUGUUGGGUUAAGUCCCGCAACGAGCGCAACCCUUAUUGUUAGUUGCCAUCAUUCAGUUGGGCACUCUAAGGAGACUGCCGGUGACAAACCGGAGGAAGGUGGGGAUGACGUCAAAUCAUCAUGCCCCUUAUGACCUGGGCUACACACGUGCUACAAUGGGAGAUACAAAGAGUCGCUAGCUCGCGAGGUUAAGCUAAUCUCAUAAAAUUUUUCUCAGUUCGGAUUGUAGGCUGCAACUCGCCUACAUGAAGCCGGAAUCGCUAGUAAUCGCGGAUCAGCAUGCCGCGGUGAAUACGUUCCCGGGCCUUGUACACACCGCCCGUCACACCACGAAAGUUUGUAACACCCGAAGUCGGUG